UCCUUCUUAGAUUUAACAUCA
rnacentral:piRNA from 1 species